GUGAAUCAUCAAAUUUUUGAACGCAAAUUGCACUCUCUUCGGAGAGUAUGCCUGUUUGAGGGUCAGCCUAAAAAAAAAUUGAAGUAGUUGGUGUUUCGAGGUGACAUUUGUUGGGAAUUGGGUUAUUUUAAACCUUUGGGUUUUUUAAGCGGUUUAAUAUUUAUUUUACGAUUUCAAGUAAGUUUUUAAGUUUUUUCUUU
rnacentral:misc_RNA from 1 species